CUAAUAGUAAUGAAUAAUGUAUAUCACACAUACUAUGCAUAUGUAUAACACUAUACUAAUGUAUAAUACUAUACUAAUAUAUAAUAAUUAAUAAUAAUAUACUAUCCUAAUGUAAGAUGUCAAUGAUAGGGGCACUGGGUAUCCCCAUUGGAUUUACAGGAACUUUGUACUAUCUUUGCAGUAAUUCUGUAAAGCCAAAAAAAAAGUAUUAAAAAUGACAUUUCCUGCUGCCUUGAAAAUGUGGGAAAUCAAUUAACAGUGGGGUAUGCCAGCAUGGAAACAGUUGACUGUAUGAGUCUUUAUUGGGACACACCCCUUUCCGUUAAUUGAAGUCCCUAAAAUGAACUGCUUCAUUCAUUGAUGCCAUUUCUCUGGUGGCUUAUGGAAUUUGAGAUUGUGAUUCUUGAAUAAAGUAAUUGAACAGACAAUUAUGUAAUUACCUCUGUGCUCUGCACCAUGGAGAAAGAGGUCCGUAAGUUCCCAGUGUGUCCUUGAAGGGGAAUCUUGCCUCUUCUCAGGCUCAGGUCGGUCCCUCAGAGUCCCUCCAAGUCAAAUGGAGAAUCAAUGACUGAUGUGCAGGGCCCAGGAAGGAAACAAAUAAGCUUCCUCUCCCACCAACAAAAGAAAUAUAAAAGAAGAUUUCCAAAGUUUGGGCAACCACAACACUGGUGACUCACAGGUAUUUGCAUAUACUUUUCUAUUACAUCUUGUUUGUUAACAGAAAAAGUGGCAAAUAAAUUGUGGACAAGUAUUUUUUAACAGCUUUAUUGAAUUAUGAUUAAAAUACAAUAAGCUGUGCACAUUGAAAGUGUGCAAUUUCAUAAGUUUUGCUAUACGUAUGCACCUGUGAAAAACUCCCUUCAAUCAAG
rnacentral:lncRNA from 10 species